rnacentral:lncRNA from 1 species
UAUCUAAUUUUCAUUGUGUGUAAAUGGGAAUGUAUGGCACCGAUAAACAAUAGAGAUUAGGUCAUCUGGGUCUAAGAGUCCAAAGUUUAAGCUAUCAAACUUUAAGCUCCCGUUUUUCGGUAAUGUUGUCUCACUAGUGAAUACAUAUGAUUUAGGAAGUGAGUGGCCAGGAGGAGAGAAGCCACAACUGACUAAUUUUAAUUUUGUCCUAGUGAUUUGCAUUAAUAGACAAUACUGAAAGGAAAGCGGUAUGCACAAGCGCAACAAAGCAGCAUAUAACCCAGAAACCAAGCAACCCGGUAACCAGACGACCUUGGCAACCCGACUCUUGUUAUCCAGAGAAUAGGGUUAUCUACCUACCCAACCUGCGACAUCAACAACCUUCACUUGGCACAAGGCAGUGUGGAAUGUGGCUUGUUCUCCGAAGCUCAAACUCCUUGUCUGGAAAACACUCCAUGAAGCUUUACCUACUGGUCACAACCUGCAACGACGGGGAGUAAUUAACAAUAUCUCAUGCAUCCACUGCGGGGGAGUUGAAUCUGUGAACCAUCUUUUCCUACAGUGUACCUUUGCUGCGACUGUGUGGAACCUCGUUCCUCUCCAAUCACCGUUCUGCUCAACUAUGUGCCCAUCAAUAGUCAUCGCACUUGAAGCUUCGAGCAAUUGGACUUGCCUUCCGCCGACGGGAGUGUCUUUAAACAUACUCUUUUGGAUCAUGUGGGCGUUGUGAAACACACGAAACCAACUCUUAUUUGAGUCGCGCCCCCAAUCAUCCUCAGAAGUGGUCUCCAAGGCUUUGGCAGCAGCAAGGGAAUGGCAGCUUGCUCAGAACCCAAUCGACACCUCACGUAAUACGCAAAAGGAGCCAUCUAUCACUCUGACGCCGACGAUCCCCUCAGGGACAAUCCUAUGCAAUAGCGACGCAGCGUGGGAUAAGAACUCGGAAUCGACGGGACUUGGAUGGAUCUUUACAUCUCCAGGAACCCCAACUCUUCAAGGCACCCAAUUUCAGACUCACGUGCAAUCGGUCCUCUUGGCUGAAGCCCUAGCGGUACGAUCUGCCCUCCAACACGCCAUUCGUCUUGGCUACACACAAAUCUGGCUUAGAUCAGAUUCUCUUGUGCUCAUCAGAGCCAUCACUUCGAUCAACAAACCGAAGAUCAUCCACGGAGUUCUCUCGGAUAUCGGAGCUUUAUCACUUUCCUUUGCUUUCUGUUUUUUCUCUUUUAUUCCUCGGGAGUUUAAUGGACCUGCGGACCACUUAGCAAAAAGCUCUCUUUGUAACCGGGCCUCCGUUUUGGGCCUAGACUUCUAGUUUCUUAUUAAUGAAAGAUGGUUGAUCAAAAAAAAAAAAAAAAAAAAAAAAAAAAAGGUUAUCUACCUAACUCAUAUUAGACGAGAUAGGACCUUCCAAAUACUUAAUUUUUUUUUAACAUUCC